AUGGUGGUGCACGUGGUGCUGCUCGCCGCGCCGGCCGUCGGCGGGUUCCUCCUGCACGCGUUCAAGUUCUCCAUCCUGCUCUGGCCGUUCAACCUCACGCUGCCGCUGCUGCGCGACCUGCCGCGCGUCUGCGCCACGCUCCGGGGCGCCGCGUCGCUCUACGCCGCCGAGCUGCGGGCGUCCCUCGGCGGCCGCCGGCGGAGGGCGCCGAGGGCGCCGGUGCCGCAGCUGGACCACCAGUACUCUGCCCUCCGCCCCGUGCAGAGACGGCCACGGCCGGCGGGACAGCUCGUCGCGCAGGCCAUGCUGGCCCUCGUCGACGUCUCCUACUGA
rnacentral:rRNA from 1 species